AGCAGCCCAACCCUGACCCUGCAGCUCUGGGACAGGAGCCCAGCCAAGGAUUCCCAGGUGUUCACAGCCCGUGCUCAGGACAGAAUACAGACCUCUCACCAUGGAGUUUGGGCUCAGCUGGAUUUUCCUUGUUGCUAUUUUAAGAGGUGUCCAGUGUGAUGCACAGCUGGUGGAGUCUGGGGGAGGACUGGUGAACCCUGGGGGUUCCCUCAAACUCUCCUGCCUGGCCUCUGGAUUCACCUUCAGUAACAAGGAUAUGAACUGGGUCCGCCAGGCUCCAGGGAAGGGGCUGGAGUGGGUCUCAUACAUUAGUGGUCCUAGUGGUAGUAGCAUAUACUACGCCAACUCAGUGAAAGGCCAAUUCACCAUCUCCAGAGACAAUGGCAAGAACACCCUCUACCUGCAAAUGAACAACCUGAAAGCUGAGGACAUGGCCGUGUAUUACUGUGCAGGGGACACAGUGAGGGGAAUUCAUUUUGAACCCAGACAUAAACCUCCCUCAAAGAAACAAGAGGUCUGGGCUGCUGGGGGCCCUCAGGACACCAGGGGGCACUCAGGUCACACUGAGCACACUAUCAGUUUGGGAGCAGCUGCAGAUGCAGUUUAAGGGCUCCCUUCCUGC